rnacentral:rRNA from 1 species
AUUGAACGCUGGCGGCAGGCCUAACACAUGCAAGUCGAACGGUAGCACAGAGAGCUUGCUCUCGGGUGACGAGUGGCGGACGGGUGAGUAACGUCUGGGAAACUGCCCGAUGGAGGGGGAUAACUACUGGAAACGGUAGCUAAUACCGCAUAACGUCGCCAGACCAAAGCGGGGGACCUUCGGGCCUCACGCCACCGGAUGUUCCCAGAUGGGAUUAGCUAGUAGGGGGGGUAAUGGCUCACCUAGGCGACGAUCCCUAGCUGGUCUGAGAGGAUGACCAGCCACACUGGAACUGAGACACGGUCCAGACUCCUACGGGAGGCAGCAGUGGGGAAUAUUGCACAAUGGGCGCAAGCCUGAUGCAGCCAUGCCGCGUGUAUGAAGAAGGCCUUCGGGUUGUAAAGUACUUUCAGCGGGGAGGAAGGCGGUGAAGUUAAUAGCUUCACCGAUUGACGUUACCCGCAGAAGAAGCACCGGCUAACUCCGUGCCAGCCGCCGCGGUAA